rnacentral:rRNA from 1 species
UACGAAGGGGGCUAGCGUUGUUCGGAAUUACUGGGCGUAAAGCGCGUGUAGGCGGGUCUUUAAGUCAGGGGUGAAAUGCCAGGGCUCAACCUUGGAACUGCCUUUGAUACUGGAGACCUUGAGUCCGGGAGAGGUGAGUGGAAUUGCGAGUGUAGAGGUGAAAUUCGUAGAUAUUCGCAAGAACACCAGUGGCGAAGGCGGCUUACUGGCCCGGAACUGACGCUGAGACGCGAAGCGUGGGAGCAAACAGG